AGAGAAAAAGAGAAAGAGAGAGAAUAGCCAAGAGUUGAGUGCACGUCAGGUGUAAUCUUCUCUUAAUUAAUAAAUUUUAUUUUACUCGCAUAUUUUUUUCUUUUGUGAUUAUAUUAGUUUUUGCUGAGGAAACAGGUUUAUGGUAAAAAUCUAAUUUGACACUUUCGUUACGGAAUCCCAACAAUCAGUACCGGAUCCACAGCAGUCGGUAUCAAAGCGGGUUGCGGAUUCAUAAGAUCCGAUACCGGAGCGAGUACCGAGGCAGGGUU
rnacentral:lncRNA from 1 species